rnacentral:rRNA from 1 species
AGUGAACGCUGGCGGUAGGCCUAACACAUGCAAGUCGAACGGCAGCACAGAGGAGCUUGCUCCUUGGGUGGCGAGUGGCGGACGGGUGAGGAAUACAUCGGAAUCUACUCUGUCGUGGGGGAUAACGUAGGGAAACUUACGCUAAUACCGCAUACGACCUAUGGGUGAAAGCAGGGGAUCUUCGGACCUUGUGCGAUUGAAUGAGCCGAUGUCGGAUUAGCUAGUUGGCGGGGUAAAGGCCCACCAAGGCGACGAUCCGUAGCUGGUCUGAGAGGAUGAUCAGCCACACUGGAACUGAGACACGGCCCAGACUCCUACGGGAGGCAGCAGUGGGGAAUAUUGGACAAUGGGCGCAAGCCUGAUCCAGCCAUACCGCGUGGGUGAGGAAGGCCUUCGGGUUGUAAAGCCCUUUUGUUGGGAAAGAAAUCCAUCUGGUUAAUACCCGGGUGGGAUGACGGUACCCAAAGAAUAAGCACCGGCUAACUUCGUGCCAGCCGCCGCUGUAA